rnacentral:rRNA from 1 species
UACGUAGGGGGCAAGCGUUGUCCGGAAUCAUUGGGCGUAAAGAUCGUGUAGGUGGCUCGGUAAGUCCGCUGUAAAAGUCCAGGGCUCAACCCUGGAAAGCCGGUGGAAACUGUCGAGCUAGAGGCCGGAAGAGGCGAGUGGAAUUCCUGGUGUAGCGGUGAAAUGCGCAGAUAUCAGGAGGAACACCAAUGGCGAAGGCAGCUCGCUGGGACGGUACUGACACUGAGACGCGAAAGCGUGGGGAGCAAACAGG